AGCCCUAGGCUGGGUGUUAACACCCCAAAGGGAGAUGAACUCACAGCAUGCCCUGGGUGCCUGCAUGGGAAAUACCUUUAAAUCACUCCUUUUCCUGGUGGUGUGAGAGACAAGGGAGCUGGGGCAGUAAAUCCCUUUUCCUCCUGCAUCUAAUUUUACAAAAUCUUAAAAAUAGAAGAACUUGUGUUCUCACAGAGCAUUUGAAAUUCUUCAGUCAGGGGAGAGAGAGAAAAAAAAAACACCAAAAACACCCUGGAGGAUGAUCAAAGGUGAAUGAGAAGUUUGGCCACAGAGCAGACCCCAGAGGAGAUAGCAGUUCUUUAAGGCUUUCAAGCAGCUGACAAGAAACCAUCAAGCUCUGAGAGCUCAACUACUGUGAAAAUCAACAGUCCUUCAAAAAAGAGGAUCCAUCUUGCUGGAAUGGUUCAUCUGGACUGGAGCCUACUCCUACCCAAGAUCUGAAAGACCUCAGGGAAGAUGUCAGUGGAGGCAGCCAGCAGGUUGGGGUGCCUCAGUGGUCUCAGAAGCAAACCCCAAGAAAACAUUGUCACCAUGGGCAGUAAUACCAAUGGCCAGAGGAUGGGGGUUCACCAUGGGGAGGACUGGUGCUGGAGGAAGAGGUUGAGUCGCAUUCUCUGAGGUCAAUUAUAUGGUGGAUGCUGAUGAACUAGGCAGAGAGCUUAAAAUCUAUAAGGAAUUUGUAAUGGGAAUUUAUCUUCAUACCUACACUGCUAUUGAUCAAAAUGGUAGUCAGCAGAUGUUGAGACCCUAUUGAUCAGCUUGGAUAUAUUAACGGUGAUUGUAUUCUAAAUAGAGUUCAGUGCACUAGGAGAAUUUUUUCCUUGUCUUUAUUUCUAUUUUCCUGUCACCAUGGUAAUGUAUAUGUAAACAUUUCUUAUUUAAAAAUAUCAAAUAUGAGAGCAGAUUUAAAGUAUUUUGGAAUUUAAGUGCUGGGUUCAGAAUAACAUGUGUGGUGUUCUGACAUGAGCUGAAAAUAUAUCCAAAGACUCCUUUCCAGCAUGCUGACAUAUAUAUAAUAUUAUAUAUAAUAUAUAAACAAGCCUGGCAAGGGUCUGGCUCUCAGCAGGGCUCAGUGCAGAGUCCUGAUCCAGAGGAGCAGCCACUGCCCCAGAUACUCAGUGAAUCAUCAUUCUAGCAGUGAUUUUUACCUGUAGACGUUGC